CUUAUGAGUCCCAAUUUUUUCCCCAAACUUUGUGUUAAAAUUCGAAUUCCUCUGCAAGGAACCCAUUAAAUUACUCUUCAAUUGAAUUGAUACUCAACUAAGUCAAUUGUCAAUGCUAUUCAAUACCCUUUUUUUCGAUUCAUAUUGCUGUUGAAAUUGGGAAAAUAUUUACCAAUUUGUGGGCAAAUAAUUUCGUAAAUUGCAGUAAAUUCAUGAAGUCAUACUUGAAUGGUAAAAGGAUGUUAUUAACCAAUUGUUGCUUGACAAGAAGCUGAUGAAGGCUGAGCUCAACUCACUACAAAGAGAGGUGGAGGACAUUAGUGGGCAGAGAAGAUGCUUGUUGAAUGAAAUUGACAACUUGAAGUUGAAGUGCAAAGCUUUAAGUGGUGAUAGGAAGAAAAUGAGCAAGAAUUGUCAGCAAGCACUACAAGAAAAAAAUUUAUUUGCUGCGUUUUGUGCUAUUCGCUGCAAAUUAAAGCAUGUUUUCCCUUCUUUUUAAUCGAAAUUAUUAAUUUGCAGGGGUGAAACAUUAAAUCCGCUGCAAAUCAUUCAUCUUGCUUAUAUCCCCCAAACCCUUAUUCCUUUGUCAUUUCAUUACUCAUUCUCUCACCCUUCACCGCCGCUCUCUUUCCUCUUUCCUCUUUCCUCACUAGAUCGACUUCAUCUUUCUCAGUCACCGUCAUCCGCACCGGCGCUAACCGUCAUCUUCGCCGCUAACGCUUCACAUUCUCUCCACCACUGUCAACACUCUUCACCCUCACGUUCUACUUUGAUUCUUCAAUUUGCUCCUUAGUCUAUCUCUUAUACAUGGAUCCAAUUCAACAAUCUGAUGCGAGAAAGACAGGAACAGCUAGUACGAUUUCCAGCCAAUUCAUCGCCCUGCUUUCGCUGAUGUUCAGUCUUUAGCAUCAAUUCCUCCGCCUAUCGUCACCGCUACUAACUCUUGGAAUUUCCUCGUAUCUAAGACUAAUUCUACUCUCAUAUUAUGAUUUAUCUCUUUAUUCUCUUGUUGAAUUAAUUGAUUGAGGUUUUUGUAUGAUGAAUUUGAAUUUUCUGGUGAUUGUCUUAUUUGAUUAUUGUUGGUUGAUUGACAUAAUUUGUGUUGGUAUAUGAACUUUAGGAUGAAUGACAGAAACUAUGUGAUUUCUUUUGUUGUUGUGGAUGUUUUUUGUUCACUGGGGGUUGGGAAUUGCUGAAUGCAUUUGAAGUUUGCCUUUUGUAAUCUCUAAGUUCUCUAAGUUAUGGCUGGGAUAUAUAAAAGAAACUGUCUCCUUCUUGAAGUUGGGUGAUUAACUGCAAUUGCCCUUUUGUGUUACCUUUUGUGUUAUAAGAUAAAUCAACUUUUAAAAUUUGUGGGGAUAUUUUAGUUAGGAAAUUAAGCUUCUAGUAAUCUGUAAAUUUAUGAAUACAAUGAGUUUUGAAAUUAUUAAGGAACAAAGUGUGGGAUGGUGAAUCUAUCAUAUAGAAAAAUCGCGUAAAUUGGUUAUAAAAGGUGGGUUACAAAGGGCUGGGGUUGAUUUAUUAUGUGCCUUAUUACUAUACUUUAGAGAUUUGCCAUGAUAUUUGCCAUCAUAUGAAGCAAAAAAAAAAAAAAAAAAAAAAAAAGGUAUAGUGGUGACUAGUUGACUAGUGCAUGUAUAAAUUUUACUAGUUUGAGUUUUUUUUUUUUCCCUUUUCUUUUCUAAUAUUUGGUGUAUAUAUAUAUAAUUCUUGGAUUUGUCUUUUAAGUAUCAAAAGCCAAUUAAACAACUUCAGAUUACUAUCUACAGAUAGUGCCCUGUGAAUUUCAGCUUUGUGUUCUUGAUUAUGUUAUUUGGCUAAUGUCUCUUGCCUCUCCAUCAUAAAAUCAAUAGUUUGCUGAUUAUAUGCUGUUUUAAGGAUAGUUUUUUAACAUAUUUAACUUGGGAUAUUUGCUAAUUAUAUGCAGGAUAAAAGCACAAAUUUUUCAAUUGACAAUAUCAAAUGAUGAUCAAGAAUAAUUGCUGGCAGCUCGACCCCAUUGUUGUUGUUGGCCGCUUGACGCCACUACUAUUGCGGCUGCUCUUUUAUUAUGCUAAGCUGUUGAAAUGGCUGAUGUAUUGUAGUUUUUUUUUUUCGAUAAAAGUUUAAUUAUACAGGCUUUUGGUAAUGGGGAUAUUUAAGUUAUACAUAUAAGCCUUUAAGUAGCAAUUUAAAGUGCAAUUUGGUAUUUUUCUUUUUA